CCGAGAGAGGGCGUUAACCGCGCCCGACCUCCCACCCUAUGUACAACUUUACGUCUUGCCUCGGGGGGCGACCCGGCUCCGGCCGGCGACCCCCCGGCGGACUCCAAAACACUGCAUCGAUGCGUCGGAGUAUUGAAGCAAAUCAAUCA
rnacentral:misc_RNA from 1 species